AUACGGAGGAUCCGAGCGUUAUCCGGAUUUAUUGGGUUUAAAGGGUGCGCAGGCGGCCAUUUAAGUCAGCGGUUAAAUCGUGGGGCUCAACCCCAUUCUGCCGUUGAUACUGGGUGGCUUGAUUGCGGUCGAGGUUGGCGGAAUUCGUUGUGUAGCGGUGAAAUGCAUAGAUAUGACGAAGAACACCGAUUGCGUAGGCAGCUGACCAGACCGCAAAUGACGCUCAGGCACGAAAGUGCGGGGAUCGAACAGGAUUAGAUACCCUGGUAGUCCGCACAGUAAACGAUGAAUACUUGUUUUCGGCGAUAUAAUGUCGGAGGCAAAGCGAAAGCGAUAAGUAUUCCACCUGGGGAGUACGCCGGCAACGGUGAAACUCAAAGGAAUUGGCGGGG
rnacentral:rRNA from 1 species